rnacentral:rRNA from 1 species
UACGUAGGGUGCAAGCGUUAAUCGGAAUUACUGGGCGUAAAGCGUGCGCAGGCGGUUUUGUAAGUUUGUCGUGAAAUCCCCGGGCUCAACCUGGGAAUUGCGAUGGAGACUGCAAGGCUAGAAUCUGGCAGAGGGGGGUAGAAUUCCACGUGUAGCAGUGAAAUGCGUAGAGAUGUGGAGGAACACCGAUGGCGAAGGGCAGCCCCCUGGGUCAAGAUUGACGCUCAUGCACGAAAGGCGUGGGGAGCAAACAGG